GGGAGAGAGAGAGGGGGAGGGUAUUAUAAAACUGAGUUCAGGUGGUUUAAAUUAAGUGGUGCGAAUCUCAGGAUGAUCAUCCAUCACUUGCUAUCACUGUACACAUGUUGACUUAUUAAUCAUACUCAGUAAACAAAGGAUUAAUUUUUUAAGUUACAAACAAAGGAUUAAUUAAUGAUAAGAUAAAAGGAGCCAAUCAGAUAUGGAUAGACGUCACUGCCACCUGUACUUCCUCCAUUUUAUAUGGGGUAUAGGAUCGUGACCGCCGUCGUACAGGGCCAAUCACCGCUUCAUACAACGCCAGCUGCAGGGGAUUCACGGAACGUGUAAUGAUUCCCAUUACGUGUCAGGCGCUGAACAUCAAGUUCCUGUAC
rnacentral:lncRNA from 1 species